CCCAGUAAGGUUAGUAACAGAGUUGGGACCUUGGAGGUCAUCAAGUCCAACCCCCUGGUCAUGCAGGAGACCUGUACUAGGGAUUGGAACCCCCGACCUUUCUGAUUGACAAGCUCUGAUUUUUUUCAAGUCUAUUAAUGAAUUGCACUAAGUAUUCCCCCCCCCCCUCUCAUUUCAACAAAUCAGCUUUAAUUAUUUUAUGGCUGUUUUUGUACUUUUGUGUUGCUAAAUCCAUUUAUCAUUCUUUCCGCAUUUGAUGGUCAGGGCUAAACCUCUAUGGACCUCUAUGGCGUUGUCUGUUGCACAGGAGCUAAACUGACAAUAUAGAAAAGGAGGACUUGCCUAAAACGACUCCCUUCCCUCAGCCUCGAUUAAAGAACUUUUGGUACUCCAUUUGUCACCAUUUCCCAUUUUAUAUUUUUGAGGGAGGAGGGAAGAUGAAAGGGAACAUUCUGUGCGCCCCCCCCCCCAACAACACACACACACGCACGCAAAAUGACAAGUGUUCUGUUCCCCAGGCAUCUGGCUUCACUGGGAACAGGCAGUUUAUUUUAUUUAUUUUAUUUUAUUUCCAAUUUAUAUACCGCCCUUCUCCCUGAGGACUCAGGGCGGUGUACAGCCAGAAUUAAGAACAUGAAAUACAAAUAUUAAAAAACAUUAAAAUAUAUAUAAAUUUGGCCCAAAAAUUAAAAAUCACAAACCAAUUUAAAACUUUUAAAAAUUUCUUCUUAAGCCAGCCCGGCUUGCUGGAAAAAGUGGGUUUUAAGGGCACGGCGGAAGGCACUGAGGUCUUGGAUUCUCCUUAUCUCUGGGGGCAACUGAUUCCAGAGGGUAGGUGCCCCCACAGAGAAGGCUCUCCCCCUGGGGGUCACCAGCCUACAUAGUUAAACUAUAGCAAACAGGUUUUCAUACAGAUCAUUUAUUUGGGUAUUCUUCAGAAACCAUAGAUUUACGAUCAUGUGAGUCACAGUGAGAUUCAUCCUUAUAUUCCAUAAUCUGUCCCAUUUCCUAGUGUAAAAUGAUGGUAGAUCUGUCCCCCUAUUCAGAAAGGACCCUUCUCUCCUCCCGUGGCAAUUCAUAAUGGCCAGGCUUUGUACUACAACCCAGGCAGAGCGCCUCAGUGACCAAUCAGACACAGCCGUGGGUCACAUGUCAUGGAUUACAUUUCCCAUAAUGCAAUCUCUCUCUACAUCUCCCACAAUGCAAUCUCUUAAGGAGACAGCUCUUAAUUCUUAAGGUAACUAAUUCACUAUCUGAAACAGCACAACAAGGUUACUAACAAACUGAUCCGGUUUGGACGCAUGGCUGCAAAAUAGGCUGAUAUUUCUUUAUUUCCAAAUCUUCAAAGAGAAACAGCAAGGAUGAAACCGCGGCUGCUGAUUCCCAGUUCCUUCAAAUGGCGGAACUUUAAAGGGAGAAUGCUGGGAGAGGAGAGGCGGCAAAAAAAAGUGUUGGAAGGAAAAAAGGAGCCUUUCCCUUUAAGGAUUGUUGGAAGGCAGAGCUUUCCCUUCUUCAAUUCAAAACUCCCGGCUGGGAGAUUACUUGGAAAGGAUUGGAGGUCAGCUGCUUGAGAGCAGACUUAGUUUAUUGUUUAUAGGAAGGCAGGCAAGAAACAAAUACAAGCACAGCAUUCCGAGGCUAGCCUGUUUGAACUGUGGGAUCCUAGAAGAGGACAAAGAAGGACUGACCAUCUGCGUGGCAUCAGCGGCCAUCUUCCUAGCAAACAGCAGCCUGCAUCGGCCAUUCCAAGAUGACCACACAUGCUCCACCAGCUCCUUUCAACCCUAAUACCGAAAAAUGGUCUUCCUAAUAUGGAUCGAUUUCAAAUCUUUAUGGAGGAGAAUAAUUUUCAAGAUGUGUCGGACUCAAGGAAAAGGGCAUUUUUUUCUAUGUUAUUGUGGGCCGCGAAUUUACCGGAUGGCUAAAUCCUUAGCAGCACCAACCGAUGUAAAGACCCUAUCGUGGACAACACUUCAGAGUAUAUUAAAGGAUCAUUAUGCACCCUCGGCAUCGCCACUUGUUAGCAGGCACCAGUUUUAUUGCAGAUGCCAACAGGAGGGUGAGACCAUCAAUGACUUUGUUGCAAAUCUGAGGGAAAUCGCAUCUGAAUGUGAAUUUAUCGAUCUAGAAGAAAUGAUGUGAGAUAGGCUCGUUUUGGGUCUGAGGGACCUGUCCCUAAAAAAACAACUGUUGGCGGAAGGGCACAUCACGUUUCAAGCCGCCCUAGACAAAGCCCAGGCAGCCGAAUCCUCUGAUAAAUCCGCAGCGACCAUCAGGAAAUCAAACGGUGUCUGUCUCCCGCGAGGAGCGGCCGCUGGACAGCAAGAUAACACAGAAUCGGAAGAAACCACCAAUGGGGAAGACGAAAUUCAUCGCAUAAAUUCCGAAAGGAAGGUAGGACAUUCGGAGGUGGGAUAUAAAUAUUUCCAUUGUGCCGGUUGCGCGGGAAAUCAUCCCAGAUCGGCAUGUGAGUUUAAAGACGCCAUAUGCCGGCAAUGCCAACGGAAGGGACAUAUAGCAGAGGCUUGCCGAGCAACCCAGCCAAGUUCCUUUCACCAGAGGCAACCAGUUUCCCCAGCUCGGCCAUUUGCCCCACAAUCGGGUUUCCGGAGGAAUAAGCGAAGAGAGGGCCAAUACCCAGAAACGAGCGGAACCCACUAGACAACCGUGGGGCAUUCCGAUGCAUGUGUUGCGGAGAAAUUCCAUGUUACCAUCCACACUGAGGGAUCCCCGUGUCACAUGGAAUUGGACACUGGUUCGUUUUUCACCAUCGUGUCCUGGCAGACCAUUAAGGAACUAAUCCCAAAAAUGGAGCAGAAACACCUAAAGCCGCAGAGAAUUAUUUAUUUAUUUAUUUAUUUAUUAUUCGAAUUUCUAUACCGCCCUUCUCCUUUCGGACUCAGGGCGGUGAACAGCCAAAAUAAAAACAUUUAUACAUAAGGUACGAUUAAAAAUAGAUUUAAAAUAAUUAAAUUUGGCCCAUAGUUUAAAAUUUAUCAAUUUGAAAUCCAUAUCAAAAUUUAAAACCAACCAUAAAAUCAUACAAUCAAGAGAGACUGGCUAACUGAAAGAGAUGAGUUUUUAGGGCCCGACGAAAAGUCCGGAGGUCGGAAAUCACUCGUAUCUCUGGGGGUAGAUUGUUCCAAAGGGUAGGUGCCACCACAGAGAAGGCUCUCCUCCUGGGGGUCGCAAGCCAGCAUUGUCUAGCUGACGGCACCCUGAAGAGGCCCUCUCUGUGGGAGCGAACUGGCCGGCGGGAGGCUAUUGGUGGCAGAAGGCGGUCCCGUAAGUACCCUGGCCCUAAGCCAUGGAGCGCUUUAAAGGUGAUCACCAACACCUUGAAGCGCACCCGGAAGUCCACCGGAAGCCAAUGCAGCUCGCGCAGGAGAGGAAUCACAUGGGAGCGCCCAUAAUCCCCCGCACGGCCGCAUUCUGCACCAGUUGGAGCCUCCGGGUGUACCCCAAGGGGAGCCCCAUGUAGAGAGUGUUACAAUAGUCCAGACGAGAGAUGACGAGUGCUUGAGUGCUUGAAUUAUAUUAAACGACUUCCAAGGAAAGCGUAUUCCUGUUCUGGGAAGAGCAUCCGUCCAAGUGAAAUUUAAAGAGUUCAGCGGACCGUUGCAGCUGACCGUCGUGGAGAGCCUGCUGGGGGUAGAAUGGUUCAGACCCCUGGGCUUGGGGGUGACCGGCAUCCACCCUGUCCAAGGAGACCAUCUCGAGAAGCUGCUAACUGAGUUUGGGGACGUCUUGGAUGGGAAUCUAGGCAAGUUAUAAAAGAACCCCUAUCUCUUGCAGUCUAGACCCCAAUGUUGCCGGUCAGAAUAAAACCAUAAAUUCCUGGUCCUACUGCCGGUUGGGUGAAAGGAGGUGGGGGAGGUCAAACUGAAAAAACACACAAAGGAGCUCCCCCCUGUCUCUCAACCCCCGUCUCUUUUUUUUUUGAAAAUGUCAAGUAUUUGCAAGCCAUUGGCACAUGUAUCAUACAGACACUAGUGGAGGCAGAAAGUGCCCCCACCCCUAUGUGGAGAGGAGGGGCUUACACUGAGUAUAAAACCCCCUCUAACCUUUCCACCAUGCUCUCUUUUACGUUUGUUCUCCAUGAGACAUGAUCUUUGAUAGGGGUAGUCACACACACUGUGUGCCCCCUAUCCUAAUGGAUAUUAAGACAGCCUUUGUAUAUAGUUAAUAUGUUUUGUUAUAUGAAUAAAUACAUUUAUCACAUUUAUUCAUGCAUCUGCCUUUGGACUCUUCUAUGCUCCUGGGUGUUUCUACGAUCCCAAUUUCCACAGAAAAUAUUUUUUUUAUUUUAAAACAAAAACAAAACAUAAAACCAUCGUCAUUCCAAACAAUUACAGACAGUGUGUCGAUUGGUUAACAUUCUUUUGUGCUUAAUCCCAUUUCCAAAGUACCAAUUUGUGACAGAAGCUUAUUUCUCAUAAGAAAGAACUUCACAUAUUUUAUCUUUACAUCAAUCUCAUAUUUCAUAUUUCAUCUCCAUGUUUUAUUGUCUAUCCAUUGCUAAAACAAAUCCCAUAUCAGAUAAUAUUGUUUAUCUUCCUGUUCUCUAAUUUCAAAUGUCAAUUUACCCAUUUCAGCACAUUCCAUAAUUUUCUUAAUAACCUCUUCCUCAGUAGGUAACUUCGCUCCUUUCCAAUUUUCAGCAAAUACAAUUCUAGCCGCUGUUAGAACAUUCACAAUUAAAUAUUGCAAUUCUCUGUUAUAUGUUUCUGGUAAAAUCCCUAAUAAAAAUACCUCUGGUUUAAAGUCAA